rnacentral:rRNA from 1 species
GGUUGUGAUCAUACCAACACUAAUGCACCGGAUCCCAUCAGAACUCCGCAGUUAAGCGUGAUUGGGCGAGAGUAGUACUCGGAUGGGUGACCCCCUGGGAAGUCCUCGUGUUGCAACCCC